AUUGAACGCUGGCGGCAGGCUUAACACAUGCAAGUCGAGCGGAGAUGAGGUGCUUGCACCUUAUCUUAGCGGCGGACGGGUGAGUAAUGCUUAGGAAUCUGCCUAUUAGUGGGGGACAACAUUCCGAAAGGAAUGCUAAUACCGCAUACGUCCUACGGGAGAAAGCAGGGGAUCUUCGGACCUUGCGCUAAAUGAUGAGCCUAAGUCGGAUUAGCUAGUUGGGGGGGUAAAGGCCUACCAAGGCGACGAUCUGUAGCGGGUCUGAGAGGAUGAUCCGCCACACUGGGACUGAGACACGGCCCAGACUCCUACGGGAGGCAGCAGUGGGGAAUAUUGGACAAUGGGCGGAAGCCUGAUCCAGCCAUGCCGCGUGUGUGAAGAAGGCCUUUUGGUUGUAAAGCACUUUAAGCGAGGAGGAGGCUACUAGUACUAAUACUACUGGAUAGUGGACGUUACUCGCAGAAUAAGCACCGGCUAACUCUGUGCCAGCAGCCGCCGCCGUAA
rnacentral:rRNA from 1 species